rnacentral:rRNA from 1 species
GUGAGGAAUAUUGCGCAAUGGAGGCAACUCUGACGCAGCCAUGCCGCGUGCAGGAAGAAGGCGCUACGCGUUGUAAACUGCUUUUAACCGGGAAGAAACCCCAGGACGUGUCCUGGGUUGACGGUACCGGAGGAAUAAGCACCGGCUAACUUCGUGCCAGCAGCCGCGGUAAUACGCAGGGUGCAAGCGUUAUCCGGAUUCAUUGGGUUUAAAGGGUGCGUAGGCGGAGCGUUAAGUCAGUGGUGAAAUCCUGCAGCUUAACUGUAGACUUGCCAUUGAUACUGGCGCUCUUGAGUGCGCUUGAAGUGGGCGGAAUGUGCCGUGUAGCGGUGAAAUGCUUAGAUAUGGCACAGAACACCAAUUGCGAAGGCAGCUCACUAAGGCGAUACUGACGCUGAGGCACGAAAGCGUGGGGAUCGAACAGGAUUAGAUACCCUUGUAGUCC